UUUCCGUAGGUGAACCUGCGGAAGGAUCAUUACCGAGUGAUGGCCCUCUGGGUCCAACCUCCCACCCGUGUUUAUCGUACCUUGUUGCUUCGGCGGGCCCGCCUCACGGCCGCCGGGGGGCACCCGCCCCCGGGCCCGCGCCCACCGAAGACACCAUUGAACGCUGUCUGAAGAUUGCAGUCUGAGCAUCUUAGCUAAAUCAGUUAAAACUUUCAACAACGGAUCUCUUGGUUCCG
rnacentral:misc_RNA from 1 species